ACGCGUUCUUUUGUUCCGGGGCCGCAGGGCGGGGCAGGCCCGACUUUCGCCGUCUUCUUGUCUGCUCUCCAGAACGGCCAUGAUUUCCCAAUUCUUCAUUCUGUCCUCCAAGGGGGACCCGCUCAUCUACAAAGACUUCCGCGGGGACAGUGGCGGCCGGGAUGUGGCCGAGCUCUUCUACCGGAAGCUGACGGGACUGCCAGGAGACGAGUCCCCGGUUGUCAUGGUAACCAGUGGCGGGAGGCGGGUGAGGAGCGGGGCCCCGUCGGGCCGGGUGGGCGCCAGCUCCCUCCCAGGACUGGUUCAUUGGUAGAUUCCACUUGGGGGGUCCAUUCCUCCAAAUAAAGCUAACGUGAGGCCCGGCGCGGUGGCUCACGCCUGUAAUCCCAGCACUUUGGGAGACCGAGGCGGGCGGAUCACCUGAGGUCAGGAGUUCGAAAUCAGCCUGGCCAACAUGGUGAAACUCCGCCUCUACUAAAAAUACAAAAAAAAAAAAAACAUAGCUGGGCGUGGUGGCGGGCGCCUGUAAUCCCAUCUACUCGGGAAGCUGAGGCAUGAGAAUCGCUUGAAUCCAAGAGGCGGAGGUUGCAGUGAGCCGAGAUCCGGACACCGCACUCCAGCCUGGGAGACAGAGCGAGACUCCCUCUCGGGCAUCACCAUGGCCGUCAUUUCAUUCACAUCAGACACAGCGGCCUCUAUUUGGUGGUCACAACUUCAGAAAACGUUUCUCCAUUCAGCCUCCUAGAACUGCUCUCCAGGUUGGCCACCCUUCUGGGCGAUUACUGUGGCUCCCUGGGCGAGGGGACCAUCUCCCGCAAUGUGGCUCUGGUAUACGAACUCCUGGAUGAAGUGCUGGACUAUGGCUAUGUACAGACCACAUCCACGGAGAUGC
rnacentral:sRNA from 1 species